rnacentral:rRNA from 1 species
AGCUUGCUACCUGACCUAGCGGCGGACGGGUGAGUAAUGCUUAGGAAUCUGCCUAUUAGUGGGGGACAACAUUCCGAAAGGAAUGCUAAUACCGCAUACGCCCUACGGGGGAAAGCAGGGGAUCUUCGGACCUUGCGCUAAUAGAUAAGCCUAAGUCAGAUUAGCUAGUUGGUGGGGUAAAGGCCUACCAAGGCGACGAUCUGUAGCGGGUCUGAGAGGAUGAUCCGCCACACUGGGACUGAGACACGGCCCAGACUCCUACGGGAGGCAGCAGUGGGGAAUAUUGGACAAUGGGCGAAAGCCUGAUCCAGCCAUGCCGCGUGUGUGAAGAAGGCCUUUUGGUUGUAAAGCACUUUAAGCGAGGAGGAGGCUCUCUUGGUUAAUACCCAAGAUGAGUGGACGUUACUCGCAGAAUAAGCACCGGCUAACUCUGUGCCAGCAGCCGCGGUAAUACAGAGGGUGCGAGCGUUAAUCGGAUUUACUGGGCGUAAAGCGUGCGUAGGCGGCUUUUUAAGUCGGAUGUGAAAUCCCCGAGCUUAACUUGGGAAUUGCAUUCGAUACUGGGAAGCUAGAGUAUGGGAGAGGAUGGUAGAAUUCCAGGUGUAGCGGUGAAAUGCGUAGAGAUCUGGAGGAAUACCGAUGGCGAAGGCAGCCAUCUGGCCUAAUACUGACGCUGAGGUACGAAAGCAUGGGGAGCAAACAGGAUUAGAUACCCUGGUAGUCCAUGCCGUAAACGAUGUCUACUAGCCGUUGGGGCCUUUGAGGCUUUAGUGGCGCAGCUAACGCGAUAAGUAGACCGCCUGGGGAGUACGGUCGCAAGACUAAAACUCAAAUGAAUUGACGGGGGCCCGCACAAGCGGUGGAGCAUGUGGUUUAAUUCGAUGCAACGCGAAGAACCUUACCUGGUCUUGACAUAGUAAGAACUUUCCAGAGAUGGAUUGGUGCCUUCGGGAACUUACAUACAGGUGCUGCAUGGCUGUCGUCAGCUCGUGUCGUGAGAUGUUGGGUUAAGUCCCGCAACGAGCGCAACCCUUUUCCUUAUUUGCCAGCGAGUAAUGUCGGGAACUUUAAGGAUACUGCCAGUGACAAACUGGAGGAAGGCGGGGACGACGUCAAGUCAUCAUGGCCCUUACGACCAGGGCUACACACGUGCUACAAUGGUCGGUACAAAGGGUUGCUACCUAGCGAUAGGAUGCUAAUCUCAAAAAGCCGAUCGUAGUCCGGAUUGGAGUCUGCAACUCGACUCCAUGAAGUCG